AAAUUUUUUUCUUUGUUUUCAAAAUUCAAGCACUUUAGCAGAUUAGGAAAAUGUUUAAAGGUUUCAUUUUUUUUUUUUUUUCAGAUUAAGGCAAUGUGUUCCUGUAGCAGUAAUCAUUUAAGAAAGUGAUGUUUUUCUCUUUCAGAUCCCUAUUUUCACUCAUUAUUAGAGAGCUGAAUUCUAAAUCAAAGAUUGUGGAGAAGAGAUGUGCAACCUGAAUAAAACAUUUCCAGAAGAGACUGAAUAAUGGUCCUGAAUAAAGGGAACUGAAAUGUUCUUGAAUUGUAAUUGGAAAAAACUCAAGUGUGUGUACUCAGGAGCACAUGUACUAAGAAGAGGGCCGCCCUACCUAUGGAGGUACUGUAUGAUUGAGUCUCUGAUUUCAUCAUGGACACAGCUCUUCCUUAUUCUGGACUUCAGCAUAAAUUACCUUCAUUUUAGGGUAAGCUUCCAGAUUUUACCUGUGUCAGUCCCAUAGCAUCAGAACCAUUCUAUUUUGUAGCUCUUGUUUUAUUUGUAGUAAAUAGUUUUGUGAUAAAUUUCCAUGUCCCAUUUUAGACUAUAAACUAUGUGGGGGCAGCCAGUGUGUACUUUUAGCUGACUCUGUAUCCUCAAUAUUUUCCAAUAUUUGGACAUAGUGGGCAUUUGAUAAAAUUUUUUGAAGAAAAUUCUCAAUGCCUAAGAUAUUUCAUAUAUUUCAUAUAUUUUAAUAACAUGUAAAAUGUUUUUUUUUUGAAAUUGAAAUUGAAAAACUUUUUCAAAUGCAAAUAUGAAUAACAAAGCAUUGUUAAGAUCUUUUUCUCCUGAAU
rnacentral:lncRNA from 1 species